rnacentral:tRNA from 1 species
GCCUGGGUGGCUCAGUCGGUUAAGCAUCUGACUUUGGCUCAGAUCACGAUCUCACAGUCUGUGAGUUUGAGUCCCACAUCAGGCU